ACGGAGCAACGCCGCGUGAACGAAGAAGGCCUUCGGGUCGUAAAGUUCUGUUGUUAGGGAAGAACAAGUACCAGAGUAACUGCUGGUACCUUGACGGUACCUAACCAGAAAGCCACGGCUAACUACGUGCCAGCAGCCGCGGUAAUACGUAGGUGGCAAGCGUUGUCCGGAAUUAUUGGGCGUAAAGCGCGCGCAGGUGGUUCCUUAAGUCUGAUGUGAAAGCCCACGGCUCAACCGUGGAGGGUCAUUGGAAACUGGGGAACUUGAGUGCAGAAGAGGAAAGUGGAAUUCCAAGUGUAGCGGUGAAAUGCGUAGAGAUUUGGAGGAACACCAGUGGCGAAGGCGACUUUCUGGUCUGUAACUGACACUGAGGCGCGAAAGCGUGGGGAGCAAACAGGAUUAGAUACCCUGGUAGUCCACGCCGUAAACGAUGAGUGCUAAGUGUUAGAGGGUUUCCGCCCUUUAGUGCUGCAGCUAACGCAUUAAGCACUCCGCCUGGGGAGUACGGCCGCAAGGCUG
rnacentral:rRNA from 1 species